rnacentral:rRNA from 1 species
GAUGAACGCUGGCGGCGUGCUUAACACAUGCAAGUCGAACGGAAAGGCCCAAGCUUGCUUGGGUACUCGAGUGGCGAACGGGUGAGUAACACGUGGGUGAUCUGCCCUGCACUUCGGGAUAAGCCUGGGAAACUGGGUCUAAUACUGGAUAGGACCACUUCUUGGAUGUUGUGGUGGAAAGUUUUUUCGGUGUGGGAUGAGCUCGCGGCCUAUCAGCUUGUUGGUGGGGUAAUGGCCUACCAAGGCGUCGACGGGUAGCCGGCCUGAGAGGGUGUACGGCCACAUUGGGACUGAGAUACGGCCCAGACUCCUACGGGAGGCAGCAGUGGGGAAUAUUGCACAAUGGGCGCAAGCCUGAUGCAGCGACGCCGCGUGGGGGAUGACGGCCUUCGGGUUGUAAACUCCUUUCGCUAGGGACGAAGCGCUUUGUGACGGUACCUGGAGAAGAAGCACCGGCUAACUACGUG